GUUAACUGAGGGAUUGCUUUGGAAACUGGAUGACUUGAGUGCAGUAGAGGAAAGUGGAACUCCAUGUGUAGCGGUGAAAUGCGUAGAUAUAUGGAAGAACACCAGUGGCGAAGGCGGCUUUCUGGACUGUAACUGACGUUGAGGCUCGAAAGUGUGGGUAGCAAACAGGAUUAGAUACCCUGGUAGUCCACACCGUAAACGAUGAGUGCUAGGUGUUUGAGGGUUUCCGCCCUUAAGUGCCGCAGCUAGCGCAUUAAGCACUCCGCCUGGGGAGUACGACCGCAAGGUUGAAACUCAAAGGAAUUGACGGGGACCCGCACAAGCGGUGGAGCAUGUGGUUUAAUUCGAAGUUUCGCGAAGAACCUUACCAGGUCUUGACAUCCCUUGACAACUCCAGAGAUGGAGCGUUCCCUUCGGGGACAAGGUGACAGGUGGUGCAUGGUUGUCGUCAGCUCGUGUCGUGAGAUGUUGGGUUAAGUCCCGCAACGAGCGCAACCCUUAUUACUAGUUGCCAGCAUUUAGUUGGGCACUCUAGUGAGACUGCCGGUGACAAACCGGAGGAAGGUGGGGAUGACGUCAAAUCAUCAUGCCCCUUAUGACCUGGGCUACACACGUGCUACAAUGGCGUAUACAACG
rnacentral:rRNA from 1 species